CCCCUUGGCCGCUGCCGCGCCCGCGCCCCCUACGCCGGCCGACCUGGGUUGCGCCGGCCUAAUCUACACCCGGAAGAGGCCGCACGGCCCCUGACGCCUGUCGACCUGGGGUUGCGCCCGCCGAUUUUCCUGCUGUCGAGGACACCGCUGCCGUCUGAUGUGCGGUGAGAAGGCAUCUCCUGGUGGAGCUUGGUUUGGAAGGCACUGGGAGGAGGAGCGCCAUGGAGCCGGUGGUUCUACAGCCUUUGGAUGGCGCGCGGCAGCACCACCGUGUUGCUCGUCCUUCACCGGGACGCAUCACUGCUGCUCUCCGCCUCUUCAUCUGCCAUGGCUGCCCAACCACACGAGAGGGUGAGCAUGAGCCGCCGGAAAACCACACCAGAGUCCCCCCUCACUCGCCUUCACUUGCUCGUAUGCCACCUCUGGUUAGAGUUGGGAGCACUGCCGAGUCGUUGAGCAGUCCUCCUCUGCAUUAUUUGAUCAGCUGCCCGAGAUCGACCGUGCUAGCCAUCGACUUCACUGCCUCCUCUACCCCGGAGGCCCGGACUGCAGCGGCAAGGCACUAUGGUUCUCGUUUAGGCUGUCCACGAAGCGAGGACCCAGUAUCUGCAGGUUUUCCCUACAAUCGUGCCCACCAUAUGUUUGUUGAAAUGCUUCCUUGCAGAUAUAGUUGGAACUUUUUCUCAACUGACCCAUUAAUUGUUCUUUGGUUUGUAUAUUCAGACUUGGAUCAUCGGAUUAUUCAAUUCUUUUUGUGCUGCAGAACUACAGAAGUACUACUUGAUCAUUGCAGUGUCCUGUUCUGUGUAUACCAAUAUCUCUAAACAGGAGUUUCCAGUAUCUCUACAAUUUCCUAGUAGAUAUCAUGGUGUGCGACAUUUUUCCAGCAAGUUGGACAGGAUGUUGCCAAAUACAGUAGAAAUCAUGGAGUGCGACAUUUUUAAGAGGCCACUUUUUGUCAAAAUAUGCAAGCUAUAUAAUGUGUACAUGGCGGUGUUACUGAAUGAAAGGAGGGUUAUAUGCAGAUUUGGUUGCCAUUAAAUGAUGUCUGUACGACAGGCGGCUCCGGCGAGUCGGAUGGACUGCGGCGGUUGCUGAGCUUCUCCAUGGCCUGCUGCAGUUCCAAGGAGACACAACUUCGAAGGUGAGGAGGAGAUAUAUAGAAGAACGGAAGGAAGGGAGAGGAGGAAGGGCAGGGCGUGGCGGCCUUGACGGUGAACCUCCGGUUGCGACGGACUCUGGCGAGAGGCGGCGCACCGCGUACGGCACCGCCGCAAGCCUACGGGGCGGCAGCGGCAGCUUGGAGCUGUGGGAGCUCGGCCCUUUGGAUCGCAUGCCAAAGGUUGUGCAUAUUGGGGUUAUAUGCAGAUUUGGUUGCCAUUAAAUGAUGUCUGUACGACAGGCGGCUCCGGCGAGUCUGAUGGACUGCGGCGGUUGCUGAGCUUCUCCAUGGCCUGCUGCAGUUCCAAAGAGACACAACUUCGAAGGUGAGGAGGAGAUAUAUAGAAGAACAGAAGGAAGGGAGAGGAGGAAGGGCAAGGGCGUGGCGGCCUUGACGGUGAACCUCCGGUUGCGACGGACUCUGGCGAGAGGCGACGCACCGCGUACGGCACCGACGCAAGCCUACGGGGCGGCAGCGGCAGCUUGGAGCUGUGGGAGCUCGGCCCUUUGGAUCACAUGCCAAAGGUUAGGCAUAUUGGGUACGUUUUGAUUGCUAGCAAACCUGUCCAUACAAAAUAUGGCCAUGAUUUAUCCUGCUGUUGGUUAGUUCUGAAGUAUUACCUGUAAAAUCAAUGAAUAUUUCUAUUUUGAGGCCACAUGUAUUUUGAUUCUGUCAACACACUGAGAUCCAUGUAGAUAGAAACAUAAGAACAGGGCUGGUCCUCUGAUCAUUAACUGUAGGCCUUCAACGCCCAUUUAGGCUUGGGAGGGGUAGUAGAUUUAAGUUAAGAAAAACAUAGUGAUUGAUGAUGACAGUUAA